AUUGAACGCUGGCGGCAGGCCUAACACAUGCAAGUCGAGCGGGGUUUUCGGACCUAGCGGCGGACGGGUGAGUAAUGCGUAGGAAGCUACCCGAUAGAGGGGAUACCAGUUGGAACGACUGUUAAUACCGCAUAAUGUCUACGGACCAAAGUGUGGGACCUUCGGGCCACAUGCUAUCGGAUGCGCCUACGUGGGAUUAGCUAGUUGGUGGGGUAAUGGCUCACCAAGGCGACGAUCCCUAGCUGGUUUGAGAGGAUGAUCAGCCACACUGGAACUGAGACAUGGUCCAGACUCCUACGGGAGGCAGCAGUGGGGAAUAUUGGACAAUGGGCGGCAAGCCUGAUCCAGCCAUGCCGCGUGUGUGAAGAAGGCCUUC
rnacentral:rRNA from 1 species